AGGUCGCUUGAACGGGCUAGGCGGCUCUGGUAUGGGAGUCGACUCGAAGUACCUCCGUGGAUACCCGUUUCAAGCAUCGCAUAUUUCACUGCCGUCCCACAAUCUUCCCUUCAGAGAAACAUGCAAGUUUAAUCUUGCAGUUUGCAGAUUCAGUCAUCUUGUUGAUUUUGAUCUUGUAGUUUAUCGUGUGCAAACAGAGACUGCCUUGAGAAAGGAAAAGAUGAGUGAACUUUGAGUUGAGUGGUGAUUUGGAGAAGAAGAUGGUUUCCUAAUUGCCUUACAAAGAUGGCAUUUGUGAGAAGGUUGCUCGAACGGGCAGGGCGGCUCCGAUACAGAAGUUUUGACUCGAAGUACCUCUUUGGAUACUCGUUUCGAGCAUGAUUAUGGUCUUCCUCGGGUUUUCAGAAACGCAGAUUUCAUUGUCUUCUUCGAUUUAUCCUUGAAUAAGAAGAAGAAAGUUGUUUGAUCAUGUAGUUUUGCAUAUUCCUUCAUUGUGUUGAUUUUGAGUUUCUAGUUUAUUGUAUUGAGUUUGUCGAGCUUGAUCACUGUCAAAUUUUGAUAUUGUUGAUCCCAUUCACUAUCAAAUUUUGGGAUUGUUGCAUGUGGAGGAAAACUUGUGUUGUCAACUUUUCUAAGUAUAAUGCAUGUUGUUUUCAGUUA